rnacentral:rRNA from 1 species
AGCCGUAAACCUAAAUAAUUAACAAACAAAAUUAUUCGCCAGAGUACUACAAGCAACAGCUUAAAACUCAAAGGACUUGGCGGUGCUUUAUAUCCCUCUAGAGGAGCCUGUUCUAUAAUCGAUAAACCCCGAUAAACCUCACCACUUUUUGCUAAUUCAACCUAUAUACCGCCAUCCUCAGCAAACCCUGUCAAGGCCUCAAAGUAAGCAAAAACACAUACAUAAAAACGUUAGGUCAAGGUGUAGUCUAUGAAGUGGAAAGAAAUGGGCUACAUUUUCUAAUAUAAGAACAACACCCCAACAGAAGCCUUUAUGAAACUAAAAGCUAAAGGAGGAUUUAGCAGUAAAUUAAGAAUAGAGAGCUUAAUUGAAUUGGGCCAUGAAGC